rnacentral:rRNA from 1 species
CGGCUGUCACUUACAGAUGGGCCCGCGGCGCAUUAGCUUGUUGGUGGGGUAACGGCUCACCAAGGCAACGAUGCGUAGCCGACCUGAGAGGGUGAUCGGCCACAUUGGGACUGAGACACGGCCCAAACUCCUACGGGAGGCAGCAGUAGGGAAUCUUCCGCAAUGGACGAAAGUCUGACGGAGCAACGCCGCGUGAGUGAAGAAGGCCUUCGGGUCGUAAAACUCUGUUGCCGGGGAAGAACAAGUGCCGUUCGAACAGGGCGGNGCCUUGACGGUACCCGGCCAGAAAGCCACGGCUAACUACGUGCCAGCAGCCGCGGUAAUACGUAGGUGGCAAGCGUUGUCCGGAAUUAUUGGGCGUAAAGCGCGCGCAGGCGGCUUCUUAAGUCUGAUGUGAAAUCUUGCGGCUCAACCGCAAGCGGUCAUUGGAAACUGGGAGGCUUGAGUGCAGAAGAGGAGAGUGGAAUUCCACGUGUAGCGGUGAAAUGCGUAGAGAUGUGGAGGAACACCAGUGGCGAAGGCGGCUCUCUGGUCUGUAACUGACGCUGAGGCGCGAAAGCGUGGGGAGCAAACAGGAUUAGAUACCCUGGUAGUCCACGCCGUAAACGAUGAGUGCUAAGUGUUAGAGGGUUUCCGCCCU